AUAAAAAUAAGUAAGAGAAAGAAACGAAAAAAGGCCCGUUUUUUCAUUUUCUGAGACCGGAAGUGGUCAUCAGCAAGUGUGGAGCCAAACGACAACAAGAUUCUCAGAGGGCGGAGCCACAGAGCAGUGACUGGUCAGACCAUAGACAGAUACAGACGACAGCGCGCUAGCGUAUCUAGUCUGCUAUAUAUAUCUAUGGUCGGCAGUGUGGUAGCGUCUCUGGCUGCUGUUGACCUUAUUUUUGGAGUAAAACACGGUAAGAAGAUAAAUACUUCUAACCAGGAGCGUUGUUUUGUUGUACGUUAAGUCAGCGACUUGUGAAGAGUUGUGUUUUGUCGUGUUUGAGCAGUUGGUCCGGACGCGUUAGCUAGCUAAGCGGCUAAGUUAGCUAGCGGGCUAAUUAACGCAGGUGGCUAACUUACCGCUGAACACCCGUGUUAGUUGCUGCAACAGCUGUACGUCAUUAUUAGAAUGAACUUCUCAACCUGUAUUUCUCUGCUGUGUAUUUUAGCUUUUAAGAAAGUUAUUUUACUUUAAUACUAGUUGUAUUAAUAACCUCAUAACAUUCCAAUUUUUCUUCCAGUCUUGGUUGGAAAUAGAAUCUCUGUAUUGAUUCAGGUAAAAACUGAACUUCACAGCAUGUUGAAGCAAAACAACCAGAUGAAAACUGUGAUGGUGUUGGAUUGUCAGACCGUAAUGUUGCAGCUCAAAGCAGCUUUUCUAGCUCAGUUCAUUCUGACAUUCAGCUAUGAAUCAACACAGCAGAUGGUGAUCCAUGCUGUGGAAGUCUCACAUCUUCUGAUUUAAUGGAGCUGCUUUGCACUUUUUACACUGUUUAUUCACCAACACUUUAUUUAAUAAAAGUCCCAUCUAGUUUUUAUGAGGAAUGUGAGGUUUUAAUUUCUCUGUGAAUAACUGCAGUCUAAUGCAACAGCUGGAGUUGUAACAUCUGUCCUGAUAUUGAUAAUGAAGUAUUGAUCAGAAUACUUAUGGUCAGCAGUCAUCCCUGAAGUUUUACAUUAAAAGCUUUACUUGUGUUGUGAACUUUGGUAAGAAGCAGAAACUUUAGCGUUGCCAUGGAUACAUGAGUGUUAAAUUCUGUCCAUGUUUCCAUUGUGGGAAAUUCAGUCCAGCAGAUGAGUUUGUUUUUACUGCCAGCUACCAUUCAGUCUGAGAUAUUAAGAAUAAAUAGAUGUGCAUAAUGUGGAAAUGAACACAUUUUAUUUUCAUUUAUUCCUACAGCUGCUACACGGAAAGUUCCAGAAUGUGGAGGAAUUUAGUCUCACAAUCAGACAAUAAAUAUUAUCUGAAAGUCAGGUUAUUGUUGUUUAUCAGCGCAAUACAAAAAUAUUCAUGUUAGAAAUAUUCCAGUUAAGAUGCUAGACAAUCAUGAUUUAUGUAAAUUUACCUCAGUAUGAAUGUUCAGGUUAAGAAUGUGCUGUGAUAUUUAUUAUCAUUAGUUUAGCUGAUUAAAGUUUAUGACUCUGCACUACAUUAUUUAUUUAAAUUUACAUCAUUAUUAGAAUAUUUAGGGUCAGACCUUACAGUAUUGAGAUUAAGAAAUCAAAUAUUCUAUAAAAUGUAAAUACACUGAACUCAUUUGGAUAUAUUUAAGUGAGACUCUACAAUAUUAUUUGACACAAAUUUGUAAAUCAAAAUUUUAAUCAUUUUUACUCCAAACAUUUACUGGACUGAUUUAAAUAUUAAAAUCACUCCUUUCUAAUCCUCUGCUGUACGUUCAAACCUGAGGCCUGAAAUAGAAACACACAAGUAUCUGAUUGAAGGAACUUCUGCAGAGUCCUGGUUCCAGAACAUGAUGAUAGAAUUAUAGACAAACUUUAACAAAAGCUGCCUGAGAGUUUACAGGUUUUUAUGUUAGAUUUCUUCACUAAUUUCAUGAGUUAUCAGCAAAAAUCAAAUGUUCAUUUGAUGAACUUUAUUUCUAAAACAUCCAGAAUUGGAGCUCAUAUCUUUGGCAGCUGUAAAGUUUCUGCUCCUUCAAAGUUCACAACACAAUGAAUUAAUUCCUAAAACACUCUCAAUGCUGGAGAGCGUUUGUGAUGCUGAAGCAGUGACCAGUUUUUCUGUUUCUUCUCUGGAGAUGCACAAUGAGGGAUGUCUGCAGCGACUGAGAAAGAGUCUCACCACAUCCUGACAUGAGGAAAAAGACUUUAUUGAAGACUAGAAUGAGAAAAACUAUCCAGACAGCAGACGGCUGCAUUCAAGUCUGUAGCUGCUGAAUUCAUGGAUGAAUCAUCUGGCACUAGAGAGGAAGACCAUCAAACAUCCAUGUCAGCUGAUGGAGGUCCAAGAGUCUCACCCAACAAACAACCUACAGAGUGAAGACCUCGAAUCUGAUUGGACGGCCUCCUAUUCACCCACGUGUGAACAAAUGCCUCUAAGUUGAUUUGUUUUCUAAAAUAAAUCUAGUUUGAGUCCUAA